rnacentral:rRNA from 1 species
AUGUAGCGGGAGUGAGGAGGACAUUACCUAGAGUUGUAGGCUUUGCCUGCUAUCUCUUACCCAUGUCUUUUGAGUACCUUACGUUUCCUCGGUGGGUUCGCCCACCGAUUGGACAAAUUUAAACCCUUUGCAGUUGAAAUCAGCGUCUGAAAAAACUUAAUAGUUACAACUUUCAACAACGGAUCUCUUGGUUCUGGCAUCGAUGAAGAACGCAGCGAAAUGCGAUAAGUAGUGUGAAUUGCAGAAUUCAGUGAAUCAUCGAAUCUUUGAACGCACAUUGCGCCCCUUGGUAUUCCAUGGGGCAUGCCUGUUCGAGCGUCAUUUGUACCUUCAAGCUCUGCUUGGUGUUGGGUGUUUGUCUCCUGUAGACUCGCCUCAAAACAAUUGGCAGCCGGCGUAUUGAUUUCGGAGCGCAGUACAUCUCGCGCUUUGCACUCAUAACGACGACAUCCAAAAGUACAUUUUUACACUCUUGACCUCGGAUCAGGUAGGGAUACCCGCUGAACUUAAGCAUAUCAUAAGCCGGGAGGAA